rnacentral:pre_miRNA from 1 species
UUUUAUGGAUGAGCAAAGAAAGUGUUUUUUUGAGAUGAAGUCUACUUCUGGUGAAGAUAUUAUGAA